GGGGGGGGGGGGGGGGGGGGGUGGUGGGGGGGGGGGGGGCGGGGGUGGUCUGGUGGGUGGGCCGGCGGGGCUUGGCGGCGGACGGGUGGGUCACACGUAGGGCACCUGCCUCCUAGACUGGGACGCCUGUUGGAAACGAUAGCGACUACCGGAUAACCGCAUUCACUGCAUGGUUGAUGUUUCACCGUUUGUUUUGCUCACACUAUGAGAUGGCUUUGCGGUGCAUUCGCUAGUUGGUGGGGUAAAGGCCUACCAAGGCGACGAUGCAUAGCCGACCUGAAAGGGUGAUCGGCCACAAUGGAAUUGAGACACGGCCCAGACUCCGACGGGAGGCAGCAGGAGGGAAUCUUACGCAAUGGGCGAAAGCCUGACGGAGCAACGCCGCGUGAGUGAAGAAGGACUUCGGUUCGUAAAGCUCUGUUGUUAGGGAAGAAUGAUUGUGUAGUAACUAUACACAGUAGAGACGGUACCUAAUCAGAAAGCAACGGCUAACUACGUG
rnacentral:rRNA from 1 species